UACAGAGACUGCGAGCGUUAUUCGGAUUCACUGGGCGUAAAGGGUGCGCAGGUGGCCAAGUGUGUGAGGCGUGAAAGCCCGGGGCUUAACCCCGGAAUUGCACCUCAAACUACUUGGCUAGAGCAUUGGAGAGGGGAGCAGAAUUCACGGUGUAGCAGUGAAAUGCGUAGAUAUCGUGAGGAAUACCAGAGGCGAAGGCGGCUCCCUGGACAAUUGCUGACACUCAGGCACGAAAGCGUGGGGAGCAAAAGGG
rnacentral:rRNA from 1 species